AACGAACGCUGGCGGCAUGCCUAACACAUGCAAGUCGAACGAGACCUUCGGGUCGAGUGGCGCACGGGUACGUAACGCGUGGGAACCUGCCCUUAGGUUCGGAAUAACUCCCCGAAAGGGGUGCUAAUACCGGAUAAUGUCUUCGGACCAAAGAUUUAUCGCCUUUGGAUGGGCCCGCGUUGGAUUAGCUAGUUGGUAGGGUAAAAGCCUACCAAGGCGACGAUCCUUAGCUGGUCUGAGAGGAUGAUCAGCCACACUGGGACUGAGACACGGCCCAGACUCCUACGGGAGGCAGCAGUGGGGAAUAUUGGACAAUGGGCGAAAGCCUGAUCCAGCAAUGCCGCGUGAGUGAUGAAGGCCUUAGGGUUGUAAAGCUCUUUUACCCGGGAUGAUAAUGACAGUACCGGGAGAAUAAGCUCCGGCUAACUCCGUG
rnacentral:rRNA from 1 species